rnacentral:lncRNA from 1 species
GCUAAUGGGCGGUGCUGCCGCUUAUUUGCUUUGCGUCGGCCACCGCCGUCAGUCAGUCGGGGCAGCGGGCCGACGACGUUUCGUCCGCCGCCCAAGGUUCUCCGGCCCCUGCGCUCCCUUGGCGCGCCCGCAGACCCCGACCCGCCGGCCGCGGCACCCUAGCCCCGCCAUCAUGUCGCAGAGCGAGAGCCCCGGGCUGCAGGAGGAGAGCCUGCACGGUCAGUCCUGUUAGCAGACUACUCCGCUCCCACCGUGGUGUGUUCCCUUAGUGGCUGCAUUGGUCCGAAGAGUCCGCAGUGUCCAGAGCGGCUUCGUCGCCAGUCCUUGGUUGGCAGACCCAACUGCUGAGUCAUUGGCAACGCAGAGUGCCAGCUCAUGGGUUAAAAGGUUUGCUCCUCGGUUUUGUGUAUUCUAUAAAAAGACGGUUACACGGUGAGUGGAAACUGUCGAGGAGUCUUUGGGCCGCGGUCAGGGGUACGUGCAGCAGGGCACUCCAGCCUCUGGCCAGUGUGGGAGGAUCACGUGGGCCCCGCCGCCCUGGGAAACCGAAUCCGGCCGGGAUUGGUGGCUGGGCCGACACUUGCCCUGGGCUCAGUUUUGAUUUGAUUACCUCUUGUUUACCUCGGAAAGAACUCGGAGCAGUUGGUCGCUGAGGCAAGACAAAGGCCAACGCUCUCCCCUCUGCUUGUCUCUGGCCAGAUGCUUUCCCUGAGUCCUGCAGCCUCUGCUCCCUGGUCUGCUCUGGUUAAAGCUGUUGACGGGCAGCCUCUGCUCUCUGGUCCGCUCUGGUUAGAGCUGUUGACGAGCAGCCUCUGCUCCCUGGUCCGUUCUGGUUAAAGCUGUUGACCAGCAGCAGGAUGUCCUAGAUGCCUUUCCUGUCUCAGAUAAACAACCAGGGGGAAGGUGGAGUUUUGUAAUAUUAUCUUGCAGCAUCAUGCGAGGGGGUGCGAGACUUAACUUCCCAGAGGCGCGCCCCCCACUCCCCCCGCCCAGUGCUGUGCUGAGUGGGGAUCAGUGCCAUCAGGUGGCACCGGCUUACCCCGAGAUGGCCCCCACUUCUUCACCUGCUGGUCUGUCUGCAGCCAGUCAGAGGGUGGUGUUGUCACAGGCCCCCACCGUGGAUGAAGGUGCAGUGCAUGAAUAGGCACAGGACGUGCACGUCUUGUGUCCUGCACUUUGAGAGGGAAGGGGUUUCCGGCAAUGAGACCCUGGCCCGCUCUGUGCAUUUCAGA